UCCGAAGGGUUCGGAACGGGGUGAGGGGCAACCCUCAUUCAGUGGCGAACGGGUGAGUAAUGCAUCGGAACGUGUCCCGUAGUGGGGGAUAACCCAGCGAAAGCUGGGCUAAUACCGCAUAUGCUCUGAGGAGGAAAGUGGGGGACCGCAAGGCCUCACGCUAUGGGAGCGGCCGAUGUCCGAUUAGCUAGUUGGUGGGGUAAUGGCCUACCAAGGCGACGAUCGGUAGCUGGUCUGAGAGGAUGAUCAGCCACACUGGGACUGAGACACGGCCCAGACUCCUACGGGAGGCAGCAGUGGGGAAUUUUGGACAAUGGGGGCAACCCUGAUCCAGCCAUGCCGCGGGACGAGGUGAAGGCCCUAGGGUUGUAAAGCACUUUUGGCAGGAAAGAAACGUCCCGGGCUAAUACCCUGGGAAACUGACGGUACCUGCAGAAUAAGCACCGGCUAACUACGUGCCAGCAGCCGCGGUAAUA
rnacentral:rRNA from 1 species